GCAACAGCUCAAAUUUGAAAUCUGGCGUCUUCGGCGUCCGAGUUGUAAUUUGCAGAGGGCGCUUUGGCAUUGGCAGCGGUCCAAGUUCCUUGGAACAGGACGUCACAGAGGGUGAGAAUCCCGUACGUGGUCGCUAGCCUUUACCGUGUAAAGCCCCUUCGACGAGUCGAGUUGUUUGGGAAUGCAGCUCUAAAUGGGAGGUAAAUUUCUUCUAAAGCUAAAUACUGGCCAGAGACCGAUAGCGCACAAGUAGAGUGAUCGAAAGAUGAAAAGCACUUUGGAAAGAGAGUUAAAAAGCACGUGAAAUUGUUGAAAGGGAAGCGCUUGCAGCCAGACUUGCCUGUAGUUGCUCAUCCGGGUUUCUACCCGGUGCACUCUUCUAUAGGCAGGCCAGCAUCAGUUUGGGCGGUUGGAUAAAGGUCUCUGUCAUGUACCUCCUCUCGGGGAGAACUUAUAGGGGAGACGACAUGCAACCAGCCCGGACUGAGGUCCGCGCAUCUGCUAGGAUGCUGGCGUAAUGGCUGUAAGCGGCCCGUCUUGAAACACGGACCAAGGAGUCUAACAUCUAUGCGAGUGUUUGGGUGUCAAGCCCGAACGCGUAAUGAAAGUGAACGGAGGUGGGAACCUUUCGGGGUGCACCAUCGACCGAUCCUGAUGUCUUCGGAUGGAUUUGAGUAAGAGCAUAGCUGUUGGGACCCGAAAGAUGGUGAACUAUGCUUGAAUAGGGUGAAGCCAGAGGAAACUCUGGUGGAGGCUCGCAGCGGUUCUGACGUGCAAAUCGAUCGU
rnacentral:rRNA from 1 species